AGAGUUUGAUUAUGGCUCAGGAUGAACGCUAGCUACAGGCUUAACACAUGCAAGUCGAGGGGCAGCAUUGGGGUAGCAAUACUCAGAUGGCGACCGGCGCACGGGUGAGUAACACGUAUCCAACCUGCCGCUUACUCGGGGAUAGCCUUUCGAAAGAAAGAUUAAUACCCGAUGGUAUAAAGAGUUCGCAUGUUCUCUUUAUUAAAGAGUUUCGGUAAGCGAUGGGGAUGCGUUCCAUUAGAUAGUUGGCGGGUAACGGCCCACCAAGUCUACGAUGGAUAGGGGUUCUGAGAGGAAGGUCCCCCACAUUGGAACUGAGACACGGUCCAAACUCCUACGGGAGGCAGCAGUGAGGAAUAUUGGUCAAUGGACGAGAGUCUGAACCAGCCAAAGUAGCGUGAAGGAUGACUGCCCUAUGGGUUGUAAACUUCUUUUAUAAGGGAAUAAAGUGAGGGACGUGUCCCUUUUUGUAUGUACCUUAUGAAUAAGGAUCGGCUAACUCCGUGCCAGCCGCCGC
rnacentral:rRNA from 1 species